rnacentral:rRNA from 1 species
CAAUAGCGUAUAUUUAAGUUGUUGCAGUUAAAAAGCUCGUAGUCGGAUUUUGGCUGAGAACGAACGGUCCGCCGUUAGGUGUGCACUGUUUGGUCUCAGCUUCCUGGUGAGGAGGUGUGCUUCACGGCCACUUAGUCACCGUGGUUACUUUGAAAAAAUUAGAGUGUUCAAAGCGGGCUUACGCUUGAAUAUAUUAGCAUGGAAUAACACCAUAGGACUCCUGUCCUAUUUCGUUGGUCUCGGGACGGGAGUAAUGAUUAAGAGGAACAGUUGGGGGCAUUCGUAUUUCAUUGUCAGAGGUUAAAUUCUUGGUUUUAUGAAAGACGAACUUCUGCGAAAGCAUUUGCCAAGGAUGUUUUCAUUGA